rnacentral:rRNA from 1 species
AUUGAACGCUGGCGGCAUGCCUUACACAUGCAAGUCGAACGGCAGCACGGGAGCAAUCCUGGUGGCGAGUGGCGAACGGGUGAGUAAUAUAUCGGAACGUGCCCGGUCGUGGGGGAUAACGUAGCGAAAGCUACGCUAAUACCGCAUACGAUCUACGGAUGAAAGCGGGGGAUCGCAAGACCUCGCGCGAUUGGAGCGGCCGAUAUCAGAUUAGGUAGUUGGUGAGGUAAAGGCUCACCAAGCCGACGAUCUGUAGCUGGUCUGAGAGGACGACCAGCCACACUGGGACUGAGACACGGCCCAGACUCCUACGGGAGGCAGCAGUGGGGAAUUUUGGACAAAUGGGCGGCAAGCCUGAUCCAGCAAUGCCGCGUGCAGGAUGAAGGCC